CCUACGGGAGGCAGCAGUGGGGGAUAUUGCACAUUGGGGGAAACCCUGAUGCAGCGACGCCGCGUGGGUGAAGAAGCGCCUCGGCGCGUAAAGCCCUGUCAGCAGGGAAGAAAAUGACGGUACCUGAAGAAGACGCCACGGCUACCUACGUGCCAGCAGCCGCGGUAAUACGUAGGGGGCAAGCGUUAUCCGGAUUUACUGGGUGUAAAGGGGGCGCAGACGGCGAUGCAAGCCAGGAGUGAAAGCCCGGGGCGUAACCCAGGGACUGCUCUUGGAACUGCGUGGCUAGAGUGCAGGAGGGGCAGGCGGAAUGCCUGGUGUAGCGGUGAAAUGCGUAGAUAUCAGGAGGAACACCGGUGGCGAAGGCGGCCUGCUGGACUGCAACUGACGUUGAGGCCCGAAAGCGUGGGGAGCAAACAGGAUUAGAUACCCUUGUAGUC
rnacentral:rRNA from 1 species